CUACGGGAGGCUCCAGUGGGGAAUAUUGGACAAUGGGCGCAAGCCUGAUCCAGCAAUGCCGCGUGAGUGAAGACGGCCUUAGGGUUGUAAAACUCUUUCGCUAGGGAAGAUAAUGACUGUACCUAGUAAAGAAGUCCCGGCUAACUCCGUGCCAGCAGCCGCGGUAAUACGGAGGGGACUAGCGUUGUUCGGAAUUACUGGGCGUAAAGAGUUCGUAGGCGGACUGACAAGUUAGAGGUGAAAUCCCAGGGCUCAACCCUGGAACUGCCUUUAAAACUGUCAGUCUAGAGACCGGAAGAGGUUAGGGGGAUACCUAGUGUAGAGGUGAAAUUCGUAGAUAUUAGGUGGAACACCAGUGGCGAAAGCGCCUAACUGGUCCGGUACUGACGCUGAGGAACGAAAGCGUGGGGAGCAAACAGGAUUAGAUACCCUAGUAGUC
rnacentral:rRNA from 1 species